CAGGGAGGAAGCCACUGCCAGGAACUGCAGCUCUCUCACGUACCAUAAACGUCCAGACCGGAAAUUAACAGCUGAAUUUCCUCUGAGCUCCAUCUCAAGUUCAUCUGUGACAAGCGGUACCCUGAAGAGAUGUUGCUAAGAAGCUCCUCAUCUCUACUGAUGACAUUAGUGAGGCUGAAGGCUUGGGCCACAGAGCCCAAAGACGAUUCAGAUCUGCCAACCACAAGCCACCAAUUCCUUCUAAAGUGCUGUGGCCACAGCAGCACAGAAGUAAUUCAUCCUCACUUACUCCUUUCCCUGGUUGCAGAAUGCUGCACUCCCCCAUCUCAAGUGCCAGAAGAGCCAGCGGGGAGCCCAUGGAGGCAUGCAGAGGCCAACGCUGCUGUCAGGCAUGAAGGCCAGUGCAGCAGCUCACCAUGGAACUGCCGCAGAGGGUGUGGAAGACAACUGUCCUCUGCUCAAGGCUUUGGACAGACCUGAGGCUGAAAAGCUGAUGUCCCAAAACCAAGCAGUCUCAGGAGCUGAGAGAAAAUAAUUCAGAAUAGCCUGGAAGAAAAAAGUUAAUCAAAAAGAAAAAAAUACCCCCAAACUGUCUGGGAACAUACACAGAUGCAAACAGCUCCAGGCAGACAGGAAGAGGAGAUACAGCCUAGUGACCACUGAGUGACCAGCUGAGGGCGGCUGCUUCAUUGCUCCGGGAAGCAAAGCAAAAUCCAAUAGAAGCAGGCUUUGGUGGUGACCUCUGAACCUUGUUGAAGCUACCUCUUUCCUAUCCUUACUUCAUACAAAUGUGAUUAAGAUAUGAAAAAGUACCUGUGAAGUAGUUUAAAGUCCUCAGAAGAAAGGUAUACAAUAAAACUGACCUAAGUCCCAGCCCUGUGGAGGCAGAGGCAGGAGAAUCACAAGUUUAAAGCCAGUCCAGACCACAUAGUGAAAAGCUGUCUCAAAAGACAAAAAUUCAUCCUCAGAUUUUGUUUUCCUCAAGAGUGGGUCACCCUCUUAGAGAUCGGUACCAAAGCCCUGACCGUUGCCAUGGGGGCAACCCAGAGUGCACACUAUGGGAUAGAGCCAAUAGGUCAUCCAUCACCUGAGGCACCAGAGAACUCUAAGAAUUCCAGAAGGAGAACUCAAGAGUGGCUUGCAUGAGGAGAGCAGGAAGGUGGCUGCUCCCUGUGAGGGGAUAUCAGCAGGCCUGAGUGCCUACUGGCCAGUGCUGACCUCAGGAUCAGUUCACAACAGCACUACAGCUCCCAAAGCAUGAGAAACCCAGGGGGCAAAUAGCAGGGACACGGGCAGAGACUCUGCAUCUGCAGAGGGCACAGGCCAGGGGUCAGGUUCAGCUGGGCUGGGGCUGCCUUCCUGCUCUGUCACCCGAAGCUUGGCCUAAGCCCUGGGCAUGCCGAGCCACUGAGGGGCCUGGUCCCAGCACAGUGAGAGCAGAAGGCCAUGGUGCCUUCCAAGAAUACAGAGAAUGAAUUUUACUAAUAAGAAACAAAUAUCAGGGGCUGGAGAGAUGGCUCAGUGGUUAAGAACACUGGCUGUUCUUGCAAAAGACCUGGGUUCAAAUCCCAGCACCCACACGGCA